UACGGAGGAUGCAAGCGUUAUCCGGAAUUAUUGGGCGUAAAGCGUCCGCAGGUGGUUAUCCAAGUCUGCUGUUAAAGCGCGAGGCUUAACUUCGUACAGGCAGUGGAAACUGGGUGACUGGAGUAUGGUAGGGGUAGCGGGAAUUCCCAGUGUAGCGGUGAAAUGCGCAGAUAUCAGGAGGAACACCGGUGGCGAAGGCGGGUCUCUGGGCCGAUACUGACGCUGAGGAGCGAAAGCGUGGGGAGCAAACAGG
rnacentral:rRNA from 1 species